AAUGAACGUUGGCGGCGUGGAUUAGGCAUGCAAGUCGUGCGAGAACCGUAGCAAUACGGGGACAGCGGCGAAAGGGAGAGGAAUACGCGGGUACCUACCCUCGGAUCUGGGAUAGCUACGGGAAACUGUAGGUAAUACCAGAUAACGUCUCCGGACCAAAGGUGUGAUUCCGUCCGGGGAGGGGCCCACGUCCUAUUAGCUUGUUGGCGAGGUAACGGCUCACCAAGGCAAAGAUGGGUAUGGGAUGUGAGAGCAUGAUCCCACUCACUGGGACUGAGACACUGCCCAGACACCUACGGGUGGCUGCAGUCGAGAAUCUUCGGCAAUGGGGGCAACCCUGACCGAGCGACGCCGCGUGCGAGAUGAAGGCCUUCGGGCUGUGAAUCGCUGUCAGUGGGGAGGAAAUGCUGGUGGGCUCUCCCAUCAGUUUGACCUAUCCGCAGAGGAAGGACGGGCUAAGUUCGUGCCAGCCGCCGCCGUAACAC
rnacentral:rRNA from 1 species